rnacentral:rRNA from 1 species
UACGUAGGGGGCUAGCGUUGUCCGGAAUCAUUGGGCGUAAAGCGCGCGUAGGCGGCCCGGUAAGUCCGCUGUGAAAGUCAAAGGCUCAACCUUUGAAUGUCAGCGGAUACUGCCGGGCUAGAGUCCGGAAGAGGCGAGUGGAAUUCCUGGUGUAGCGGUGGAAUGCGCAGAUAUCAGGAGGAACACCAAUUGCGAAGGCAGCUCGCUGGGACGUUACUGACGCUGAGACGCGAAAGCGUGGGGAGCAAACAGG